rnacentral:tRNA from 1 species
AGGUAUUUAGUCUAACAAAGACAACUGAUUUCGACUCAAUUAAUUAUGGUUUCAACCCAUAAAUACCUU